rnacentral:rRNA from 1 species
CAGCCGCCGCGGUAAAACGAAGGGGGCUAGCGUUGCUCGGAAUUACUGGGCGUAAAGGGAGCGUAGGCGGAUCGUUAAGUUGGGGGUGAAAGCCCGGGGCUCAACCUCGGAACUGCCUUCAAUACUGGCGAUCUUGAGUAUGAGAGAGGUGUGUGGAACUCCGAGUGUAGAGGUGAAAUUCGUAGAUAUUCGGAAGAACACCAGUGGCGAAGGCGACACACUGGCUCAUUACUGACGCUGAGGCUCGAAAGCGUGGGGAGCAAACAGGAUUAGAUACCCCUGUAGUCCCUGUCUCUUAUAC